rnacentral:rRNA from 1 species
CCUACGGGUGGCAGCAGUAGGGAAUUUUGCGCAAUGGGGGAAACCCUGACGCAGCAACACCGCGUGAAUGUUAAGCCCUUCGGGGUGUAAAGUUCUGUCAAUAGGGACGAAUUUUAACUGUACCUAUAAAGGAAGCACCGGCUAACUCCGUGCCAGCAGCCGCGGUAAUACGGGGGGUGCAAGCGUUGUCCGGAAUCAUUGGGCGUAAAGCGUUCGUAGGCGGUGCAGCAAGUCCGAUGUGAAAGGUCGGGGCCCAACCCCGGGACUGCAUUGGAAACUGUUGAACUGGAGUACAGGAGAGGUAAGCGGAAUUCCUAGUGUAGCGGUGAAAUGCGUAGAUAUUAGGAGGAACACCAGUGGCGAAGGCGGCUUACUGGACUGUAACUGACGUUGAGGCUCGAAAGCGUGGGGAGCAAACAGGAUUAGAUACCCUUGUAGUC